UCAUCGCAGGCUCGCCGCGGAUCUAAAGGGCUCUUUUCUUAAAAGGGGGGCUCUUGCUCCUCUGUAUUUCUCUUCCGUGCUAGAGUUAUCAAAACUAUACAGUAUCAUCGGUUCCCCUGAUGUAGGGCAUCUUGCGAAAAGAAUGCGAACAUAGCAAGUGCUGGGUUCUGAAAGGGAGAGCGCUAGGACAGAAAACGUUUAAGGGGAUAGGAAAAAUAAUUUUAGAAGAGCGGUUUUCUGAGAUUAAUCCUUUGGCUGGAGAAGUUCAAGAGGAAUAAAUGACAAGAGAGUUGUGUUUUACAACAGAUUUUUUUUUUCUUUUUUGGACCAGAUGAUUUUAAAAUAUUAUUCUUUAAUUCUCUUCUCAGAUGAUUGACACUAACUCCAUCAAUAAUUAAGCCAGCAGCUGUUAAUGCCUUGGCGUAACAGCACAGGGUAAAUAUGUGAACGUCCAGUCAAAUCAGUGCUAUUCUCCAGGGUGGGUUUGGGAUUUGACAAGCACACAUGCGCAUCAUCUUCGAGCUUUUAAGGAGCGGUUUAUGCCUGCCUCGGAAUUAAGGGUUAUUGCAGGAACCUGAGGUACCAGUGUGAGAAGGAGCAUGAUCUGACAGAAGUUUUUCUAUUUUUAGAAUUCUAAAUAUCUUCACGUCCAGUGCAAAGAGCAAGACCUGACUCUCUGCUGCACAGAGGAAGUGAUGCUCAAGAAGCCAGAUUCACACUUUCACUCAAUCAUUUCAGCAACAGGGCAAUGCUCUUCAGCAAUAAUGUGUGGAUCCUAUUGCUCCAGCCAGUUCAUUUAUCCCCAGUCUAGCAGAGCAGUGUCACGAUGAGCCUACAGACAAGUGAAUCUCACACUUGUCAUUUUUUUUCGAGACAAUCCAAGAAUGAAGAAAAGGUCAGUUUUACAGCUCAAUUCUGAAUACAUCAAAUGAGCACAUAACAGGAAACUACCAAGUGAAGAAUAGCCUAGAAAAGAAUCAGAGUUAGAAAACAGCCAACAAAAAGUAGUAGGCCAAUAGGUUAUAGACUGAGUACCCAAUUUUUGCUAUUGUUGAAUGUCUUCUAACUUCGCUGUGAAUUUUAAGUACCAGCAGAUUUCCUGUGCUCCCAUACGAGAGAGAAACUGCGCCUGUAGGUGACAAGCACAACUUGAAGCUGCAGUAUGUCACUUAUCUGCUAUCGUGACAAUGCCAGAAGUAAACAGGACAAAAGAUAAUGGCUCUUAACCAAGGCUAAUAUUCCCGAGUAGCAAAAAUGUGCUUUUUCAAUUUGAUUUGUUUUUCAUAGAAAGAAACGGAGAAAACCAGGAGGCUCUGAAAAUAUUAUAUUUAUUUUAGCCAAGCCAAAUGGAUUCACUGCAUCGAAAGGUAACAUUUUGAAGUUCAAAACAGAGACUGCUUCUUUCUAAGCAUACAUUUCAUCCAUGGAGGUUGGGUCCUGUCCUUUCCUUCGGGGGGUGAAGCUUAUGAACAUUCACGACAGAAGGUAUUUCAUAAUUCUUUUUUAUUGUUUUCCGUGCUCAUCAGACAUUUCAUCAUAUGGUGAUUUUCAAAGAGAGGUG